ACACUCUGGUUUUCGUUCAAACGAAUAAAUCUUUCACCCUUUACUAAAGAUUUCCGUGGAGGGAAAACUAAAUGAGUCUUCUAUAAAUUUCUCAUAGUGCUCAGCUUUUGUGGAGCC